GACGAACGCUGGCGGCGUGCUUAACACAUGCAAGUCGAACGGAAAGGCCCUGCUUGCAGGGUACUCGAGUGGCGAACGGGUGAGUAACACGUGGGUGAUCUGCCCUGCACUUCGGGAUAAGCCUGGGAAACUGGGUCUAAUACCGGAUAGGAGCCAUUUUUAGUGUGAUGGUUGGAAAGUUUUUUCGGUGUAGGAUGAGCUCGCGGCCUAUCAGCUUGUUGGUGGGGUAAUGGCCUACCAAGGCGGCGACGGGUAGCCGGCCUGAGAGGGUGGACGGCCACAUUGGGACUGAGAUACGGCCCAGACGCCUACGGGAGGCAGCAGUGGGGAAUAUUGCACAAUGGGCGCAAGCCUGAUGCAGCGACGCCGCGUGGGGGAUGACGGCCUUCGGGUUGUAAACGCCUUUCGCUAGGGACGAAGCUUUUUGUGACGGUACCUAGAUAAGAAGCACCGGCUAACUACGUG
rnacentral:rRNA from 1 species